GACGAACGCUGGCGGCGUGCUUAACACAUGCAAGUCGAACGGAAAGGCCCUGCUUUUGUGGGGUGCUCGAGUGGCGAACGGGUGAGUAACACGUGAGUAACCUGCCCUUGACUUUGGGAUAACUUCAGGAAACUGGGGCUAAUACCGGAUAGGAGCUCCUGCUGCAUGGUGGGGGUUGGAAAGUUUCGGCGGUUGGGGAUGGACUCGCGGCUUAUCAGCUUGUUGGUGGGGUAGUGGCUUACCAAGGCUUUGACGGGUAGCCGGCCUGAGAGGGUGACCGGUCAAAUUGGGACUGAGAUACGGCCCAGACUCCUACGGGCAGCAGCAGUGGGGAAUAUUGCACGAUGGGCGGAAGCCUGAUGCAGCAACGCCGCGUGCGGGAUGACGGCCUUCGGGUUGUAAACCGCUUUCGCCUGUGACGAAGCGUGAGUGACGGUAAUGGGUAAAGAAGCACCGGCUAACUACGUG
rnacentral:rRNA from 1 species